rnacentral:lncRNA from 1 species
ACCCCCACCCUUGCGCCGGCCGGGCCGGUCAGGGGGAACCCGCUCGCUUCGCCCGGCCGCGGGCGGGGAGGGGAGGGGAGCGGCCCGGCCCACUAUGCAAAGCGCCGGGCGCCGCCGCCGCCACCCCGUGGCAAAGGUAAAAGGGUCGGGUUCAGCCGCCGCCGCGGCGCCUCCAUGUCCGCGCGCCAGGCCCGCCCCCUCCGCCGCCGGCCCGAGCCCGCCCGACCCUCUUUCAAUUUUACCUCAGGAUUUGGCGCCAAAGCGGCCUCGAAGCGGGUCCCGUGUCUGCGGCGGGCGGCCCCCGGCGCGGAGGGCAGGGCGCGGGGAGCCCGGGCUCCCGGUGUCGGCGGAUGGCGGGAGCCCGGGGGCCGCGGGCUCGCGGGGCAGCGGGCGAGAGACGAGACGCCGAGCCAAGGCUUCUGGAAGGCUCGCAAAGUGUCUGUUGUUGGAAGAAGCCGGGCCCUGACUGGCGCGACGGAUUCUCCCAGCCGCUCAGCAGAGCGUCUGUAGGUCGGAAGUGGGGGUUGUAUUGGAAUAUGCUUUUUGUCUAAUGAUGUUAGAUAAAAAGCAAAUUUGGAGCAGUUUUCUUAUUCGAGUUCAAAAUGGUUCAUAAAGCAGCGAAGACAACUCAAAACAUCAGUAACACAUUUGGCCCAGGAACUGCUAACAAACAUACAGUGCAGUGGUGGCUUAAGAAGUUUUGCAAGGAAGAGAGCCUUGAAGAUGAGGAACGUGAUAUGGGCCAUGGGAAGUUGACAACGACCAAUUGAGAGCAAUCAUUGAACUACAUGAAAAAUUACAGAAGAACUCAGCGUUGACUAUUCUACGGUCAUUAGGGUCGUUCAGCAUUCGAAGCAAAUUGGAAAGGUGAAAAAGCUUGAUAAGUGGGUGCCUCAUGAGCUGAGCGGAAAUCAAAACUAUCGUUUUGAAGUGUAGUCUUCUUUUAUGCUACGCAACAACAAACCAUUUCUCAAUCGGAUUGUGACAUGUAAUGAAAAGUGAAUUUUAUACAACAACCAGCUCAGUGGUUGGACCAAGAGGCAGCUCCAAAGCAGUUCCCAAAGCCAAACUUGCACCAAAAAAAAGGUCAUGGUCACUGUUCGGUGGUCUGCUGCCCAUCUGAUCCACUACAGUUUUCUGAAUCCUGGUGAAACCAUUACAUCUGAGAAGUAUGCUCAGCAAAUUGGUAAGAUGCACCGAAAACUGCAAUACCUGCUGCCUGCAUUGGUCAACAGAAAGGGCCCAAUUCUUCUCCACGACAACACCUGACUGCGUGUCGCACAACCAGUGCUUCAAAAGUUGAAGGAAUUGGGCUACAAAGUUUUGCCUCAUCCACCAUAUUCACCUGACCUUUCGCCAACUGACUACCACUUCUGCUAGCAUCUUGACAACUUUUUGCAGGGAAAACACUUCAGCAUGGUGCAGAAAAUGCUUUCCAAGAGUUCGUCAAAUCCUGAAGCACGGAUUUUUAUGCUACAGGAAUAAACAAACAUUUCUCAUUGGCAAAAAUGUGUUGAUUGUAAUGGUUCCUGUUUUGAUUAAUAGAAUAUGUUUUAGCGUAGUUACAAUGAUUUAAAAUUCGCAGUCUGGAAAUUUAAUUUUUGCAUCAACCUAAUAUUUCUAUGGUAAAUCCUUGCAAACAUGGAAACAAUGCAUUUGGCCCAGUGCUUUGUGGUUGUGUACUCUUUUUCUUUGUUUUUUUAAUAGAUGGCAUUGGCCGGGCAUGGUGGCUCAUGCCUGUAAUCCCAGCAUUUUGGGAAGGUGAGGUGGGUGGAUCACCUGAGGUCAGGAGUUCAAGACCAGCCUGACUAACAUGGUAAAACCCCAUCUCUACUAAAAAUACAAAAAAAUUAGCUAGGCGGGGUGGCGGGCAUCUAAUUCCAGCUACUUCAUGAGGCUGCGACAGGAGAAUCAUUUGAACUCGGGAGGCAGAGGUUGCAGUGAGCCGAGAUCACACCAUUGCACUCCAGCCUGGGCGAUGAGCGAAACUGUCUCAAAAAAAAAAAAAGUUGGGGUCUCGCUGUGUUGACCAGGCUGGUCUCGAACUCCUGGCCUCAAGUGAUCCUCCCAUCUUGGCCUCCCAAAGUGUUAGGAUUACAGGCGUGAGCCACCACACCCUGCCUGGUUGUGUACUCUUUUAAAUACUAAGUUUUUAAUGUUAAAUGCUGCUUUUAGAUACACUGUAAAAAUACACCUAUCAAUGAGUUUUUUUAUUAAAAACAUUGCAAUUGUACUAGACUUUAAAUACUAAGCAAUAAUUCAGGCUUCAAUGUUGGUUUAUAGUUUUCUCAUUUCUUUCAUUUAAUACCUCUGUAAAAUGAAGCAGUUACUUCCAUUUUCCUGAGGUGAGAUAAGUGCCCUGCACAAUGUUAUAGGCCCAGUAAGUGAGACUGGAGCUCUGAUCUAAUCCCUUUGACAUUAAAGUUUGUGCAGUAAACCAGCUAUGUCAGUUUGCCACAUUUGUAAUAGUGUUCAAUAAAUUUUCACUUAAAGGUUUAAUAUUAAAGUAGUAGCAAGAAUUCAUAACCUUAAUUGGCUUUAACAGCUUUUCUUUCCCUGAAAACAGAUGCAUAUGUACACAUGCACACAGAUUGCUUACAAUAUCAGCACGUAAAAGGCCUUUGCACAUUGAAGUCGGCACUGCUUUGGUGCCUUUUUUGUUUUUUGGCUCGGUGUUUUGACUGCAAGUCUUUUUGGAUAGAAUUUUAUAGUUAGAAAGUAGCUAACACUUGGGUUUUAUAGGCACAAAAAACAAGUCUUAUACUAGCUGUACUUUAUUUUUUGAGUUCUUAUUAAUGAGGAACAUCCACUUUUGCAUUGACAGUGAUUUCAAGAUUGCUUUAUCAGCCUUUAAAGGAUUCUUGACUAGUCGUGCACAUCAGAACUGCCAGGUCCCCAGUGGUUCUGAAGCAGUAAGCUUUGGGUGGGCUCUGGCAUCAGCACUUUCACUAAGCUUCACAGAUAAUUCUGAUGCAUACUCCAGGCCUGAACCACUGAUCAAUUUGAAACAUGCAUAACAAAGCAAAAAAAGUUUUGUUUCACCUUUUGAAAUACAGUUAACUCUUUUACCAUGCCAGAGAUCAUUCAGAGAGACAGGUCGUUGCUCCGGAGUGAUACAGAUCUGGCAGUACCCAGCCCUUGUGUGUGUGCGUUAGCUCAGCACCUGCCCACACUGCGAGCCCCCGUAGGAUGUGCCUUGUCCUUCCCUGUUUCAGCACUUAACACACUACCUGCCCCU